GCGGCGGGACGCGCCCCCGGCCGGGCCUCUUUAACGACACGACUAUACCCGCCUCCAUCAGAUAAACGUGGGCCGCCAAUACAGUUCUCCUCCCGGACAUCGAGUCCCGGGAAAAUGCAGCUGGGAUGUGAGAAAAAGGGAUUUCCUUAGAAGGGAGCGUCAACAGAGAGCGUCCGAGGGAAGAGACGCAGCCGUGACUCCCGUCCUGUGGAAUGAGUGACGUCCGACACAAUAAGACGUGAAAUAGAACAGAAGUAAAUCACGUCCAUUAAUAUGAAGCUAUUCAUGUUUUUUUAACAGUGAAUUCUGUGCGCAGUAAGAAUUCAGAUCUACUGAAUUCAUGUUAAUUAUGUAUCAAGACGGAGACAUUUCUGUGCAAAAUAAAAAUACAGAAUCCAAUUUACUGUUUUAAUAUUCUUUCAGGACGUAAAUAUUUCUUCUUUCACAGCAAGAGAACUCAUUAUUUUUUACAUUGAAAAGUACAGUCUGAAAUGGACGUAAGAAUACUUUCACGAGUGUGUCCUUGCACUUGACGUCCUCCAUGAAGAUCCAUUGAGGUGUCUGUGUGUUGCGUAACCGCUUUAUAUCCAACAACUGCAAAGGAUGUUUCUGUCCUUCAACUUAUUUUCAGCAUAAUCAUUUAUUCGUUGAUUUACGAAAAAGUGGUCCAAUGAGAAACGAAGGAUGAGAAACGUAACAAACCAAACGUCUGUGAGGAAACACCGGCGUGCGUUUUCAAAAAGCUCCUUUUGCUCGUGAUUGGACCACAGAUUCGUCCGUUUUGGUCUCUUCCAGUGGGCGAAUUCCUCAACGGUGUCAUCCGUUAAUGUCUCAGCGACGCACCACGCAGUCAACAGGCCGGAGGGACGCCAUUAAAGAGAGACAGCGCGACAGCUUGCCGCCGUGCGGGCGUCUCGGUGUAACGAGUGACCUCGUUAACUGCGUUUUCUUAGCUACGCCGAGCGAGACGCCGCGCUCGCCUGAAGGUCAGCGGGUAACAAAGGCGGCCGCUUCGGCCGGAACGCCGGAAAAGUGCAACAAGCGGCCAUUUUGAUGCUUCAAUGUCUGAAGCUCGUAGCUCUGGAUGACCACCACGGGGUCUCUCUGUGCCGCUCGCUUUCCUGGUUCGUUGUGCCCUGAAUUAUUCACCAUCCCCCCCCCCGUCUACUCCACCUCUGAUUGGCUGGUGGUCGCUGCCUUCUCGUCGGCUUAUUGCCGGCGUGCACAAUCGGUGGAGGGACGGUCGGGUUAUUGAUUUUAACUCCGACGCGGAGGGUUUUUUAUGAGAAUGGCAGCCUUCUCGUGAGUGCUCUCAUUUAUAAUUUUUGACGCGGCAUCAUAAUUCACCUUAAUGCUAACCUCGACACGGCACACUGAUUAAAAACAAAAUUGAAAAAUGGGCACUUCACAUCCAAAAAGGCGGGCGACCCCUCGAGCGGCGGCUGAUGCAGACUUUGCCCGUCGUCAGAGGAGACGCUCGUAUGAAUGACUGGUCAAUAAGAAGGUAACUGCGGCAUGUAGCCUAAUGCUAAUUAGCCGCUGAGGCACCUUUACAGCAGUGAUUAACACCACCAGAGCACAGGCCGUGUGCUGGGGGGAGCACGAGUUCAGUCCACGGCGACCACAGUCGAUAGCAUCAAAGGGGGGGGGGGGGGGGGGAUAGUAUCUGGUGCCGCGGCCCUGUGUGUGGCAUCGAUAAAGCGUCACAUGAUACCCGGCACGCGCAGGCUUCAGGGUUCCAGUGACCUCCGCCCGCUCCGAGGGCCCGGAGUGCCGCCGAGGUAUCCGUUGACAAGCCGUCCCAAAAACGCCGGCUGAAUUCGAGGAAGCGCGCGUCGACACCAAUGAUUGCGGAAAAAACACACGGCGUGGUUUACUGAGGCGGCCGGUUUCCUCCGCUCAUCCAAAGGGACCCGCCAGCGUUUACAGGCAGCCGGCGGGACGACUUACUGGCCCGGUCGACACCUUCGGCGAUCGCACGCGUGUCUUCUGCCGACACGUGAUUUAUUCGCACCCGCAGUCAUUUUCUGCAGGACGUCCGGAAGCAGCCGGCCCGGGGUUACGUUCUAAAUGACGGUUAACAUCAGGGCUGCGCGGUGUGACGGUAUCCCGACACGGCUCCUGUGUUGUUCCUCCUGCGUCGCUCUUUUCGGUGUCUUUUUUCUUCAUUUAUAUAUCGAAUGUUGCUCUUUAAUGAAGCCAGAGCGUUGUUCAUUACGUUCCUCAAUUGAUCGAUGAAAUAUCAAUUAAAAUAGCCGAUAGCCGCAGCCCUGAUAGCGUUAUUUGAUUGCUUGUCCUCCCCACUACGUCCCAAAUGGCUUUAAAAUGGUGCUAAAAUGAAAUAAGUUUGAACGGACUCUAUUGGGUAUCCUUUUCUCUAUAGAUAUCUAAACAUUUACUUUCCAAGUAAAAAGAAGCAAUAUUGAUUUAGUGGUCUGACGUUGCUUUGCUUGAGAGUAGCUUCUGCAUGAGGUGCUAUAGAUUUUGCUUUUAAAGAGGCUUUUGGAACCUUUUUUUUUCCCGUGGGAGGAAGCGAAGUGGACGGAGCACAUGAAGUGGAUGGAGUUCCGCUCUGCAUUCGGUACGUGAGUGUGCACCAGCGGUCACUAAAGACAAGUCACAUGUAAAGACAUGACGCCUGAGCGCCGCCGCUGCCCUCAAUCUGUUCUGAUAUUUAUUUGUUGAAAGCUGGACAAAAAAAAAAGUCAGAAUAAGCCUCAAAAACAACAUCAGGGGGGGAAAAAAAUCCUUCAAAUUAAGAGAGAAAAUAAUCCGUUAACAUCUGGUAACAUCAGUUUUCAUGUUGUGAGUUUGGGAUUGGAGGCGCUGCCGUGCGUUUCCUUAGAGCGGAUUUGUUGAAGCUGAGAUCUUGAAGUCGGCGGUCCUGAUAAGCAGCACAUCCGUGAUUACACGCGUUUGUUUUGGACCCCUUUAAAUGCAUCAUGAUCAAUAUCAAAUCACAGGGCGUGACGGCGCAGGCCUGAUUCACAGGUAGUCACACAACGUAAUUACACCAGAUAUUAAAGUCUAAACACAAUGUGGAAUUCAGCGAGCCAGCCUUCUUCUUUUUAUUCAACUCGUUUUCAUUCUCCAGUCUGAAAUCCGAGUCUUUUUUCAUCCUUAAUUCCGUCCUGUUUUUCAUCACUGCAACCGUCCCUUUCUGAUUAUUGCAUCAAUCUUAUUGGCACAGUGGAUAGAAAAGUGGGUGUUGAUAAUCCCUUAAAGCCCCUCUGCCAGUAACGAAAUCAGCAGAGGCCGGAGUUUACGGACUGCACAGCUGUUGGAAGCGUAUUCAUUGCAUUCUAUGGAUCGCGGUGCGGCGGCGUGACCGAUGCAGCCGAAAACGGGAAGCUCUGCACUGGCGCCACAUUCAUCACAAUAGAUUUAUUUCCCUCUGCUCCCCUGAGACGGGGACAGAAAUGAUUCCUCUUAUAUCAAGUGUCCAUGAUAUUUUCUUCUCAUUCAUUACAAUCAAAAGCUCUGCAGAGGAAAACCGACGGAAUUCCCACCGCUUCUGUCUGCUAAGAGAUAUCGUGAUGAAGAUCAUUAGCUUUUUUGUCCAGUUCUUCCAUAUAACAAAGGGAUUAUGUUUACAGGAUUAUUUAAAAAGCAUAAAUUCAAGUAGUCACGGGUAUUGACUGUAGUGCAGAAAUAGAGUAAACAACUGCAGGGGGAAGACAGCAGCAUCCGUCUGUGCUUCCAGAAGAAACAAAAUGCUUUGACCGAGAUGAAACACCAGGUGAGGCCGUCGUCAAUUCACGUCUCUGCAGAGCGGCAGCCAGUCAGCGCUAAAACGCUUUAUUCACCCAAUUUAGCAGAAGUAAACACACGGUCCUGUGUAGCACAGCUCCCCGUUCCACUUCCUCCUUGAAAAUGAAGCCUCUCCGAUGGGGAUUGAUCGCGAUAGAAACAUUAGUUUGUCGGUUUUUCAUGUGUAGAGAAACAACGAUACCGUCCUCCCGGACAUGAGGAUGCGAAGAUGCAGAGAAACAAACUGGGAAUGUGUGAGGAAACAAUACGAAUAUAUACUUCUACAUUACAUAUUCCAAGGUUUUCGACUAUUAAUGAUGAUUUUGUUUAAUGAGGAUGAAAAUGUGCCCUGACUUUUUUUAAAUUUGUAAUGCCUUUCCAAUCUGCCGAAAACACAAUGCAACUACUUGCCAACCAUUGUUAGUAGUUUAUGGCUUUUACUGUGAAGGGGGUGGAUCUGCUCUUUAAAUAUUGCAGCCACUCAGUUUCACACCAUCGGUGGAUCCGUUUCCUUUUUUUUUUUUUUAGAGUUUAGUGUGAAACGUCAGAGAGACUUUUCGAUGCAUAAUAUAUUUGUAAAGGAAUUAAUUAUGAAAGGAACAGUUUAAGAUGAUAUGAUGUAUGAUGUGUGAGGCUGUCGAGUGUGGUUAGUUUUCAGAGAUAUUUUUAAUAAAUGAACUUAAAUAUGGCAUUAAUGCUGAAUAAAUAUAUAAUAUAAAUUAGAAAAGACCUAAAUACACAUAAAUGACAAACAACCAGUCUUAAUUUCACACAUCAGAAAAUAGGAUUUACAACGACUCAAAUUCCUCCAGGCACCAGGAUGAUGAUGAGAGUAAUCCGUUGUGUUGUCAUAAUCGCAACUAUUUUCUGUACCCUCAUUGCAUCAUUCCUCCACAUUCCUUCCAGUUUGUGUUAUAGAGCGGCGCUGUGUCCCAAAGUAGCGCUCUAUCACUACACCACAGCACUGCUCUAUCACACAGCACUGCUCUAUCACACGGCACUGCUCUAUCACAUAGCACUGCUCUAUCACACGGCACUGCUCUAUCACACAGCACUGCUCUAUUACACAGCACUGCUCUAUCACACGGCACUGCUCUAUCACACAGCACUGCUCUAUUACACAGC
ensembl:lncRNA